UACGAAGGGGGCUAGCGUUGCUCGGAAUGACUGGGCGUAAAGGGCGCGUAGGCGGCGACCACCGUCAGAUGUGAAAUCCCCGGGCUCAACCUGGGAAUGGCAGUGGAUACUGGCAAGCUGGGAGUGCGGUAGAGGGUAGUGGAAUUCCCGGUGUAGCAGUGAAAUGCGUAGAGAUCGGGAGGAACACCAGUGGCGAAGGCGGCUACCUGGGCCAGCACUGACACUGAGGCACGAAAGCGUGGGGAG
rnacentral:rRNA from 1 species